CGCGGCCUAUCAGCUUGUUGGUGAGGUAGUGGCUCACCAAGGCGACGACGGGUAGCCGGCCUGAGAGGGCGACCGGCCACACUGGGACUGAGACACGGCCCAGACUCCUACGGGAGGCAGCAGUGGGGAAUAUUGCACAAUGGGCGGAAGCCUGAUGCAGCGACGCCGCGUGAGGGAUGACGGCCUUCGGGUUGUAAACCUCUUUCAGCUCUGAAGAAGCGAAAGUGACGGUAGGAGCAGAAGAAGCACCGGCUAACUACGUGCCAGCAGCCGCGGUAAUACGUAGGGUGCGAGCGUUGUCCGGAAUUAUUGGGCGUAAAGAGCUUGUAGGCGGUUUGUCGCGUCUGCUGUGAAAAUCCGGGGCUCAACUCCGGACUUGCAGUGGGUACGGGCAGACUAGAGUGUGGUAGGGGAGACUGGAAUCCCUGGUGUAGCGGUGAAAUGCGCAGAUAUCUGGAGGAACACCGAUGGCGAAGGCAGGUCUCUGGGCCACUACUGACGCUGAGAAGCGAAAGCGUGGGGAGCGAACAGGAUUAGAUACCCUGGUAGUCCACGCCGUAAACGUUGGGAACUAGGUGUGGGUCUCAUUCCACGAGGUCUGUGCCGCAGCUAACGCAUUAACUCCCCGCCUGGGGAGUACGG
rnacentral:rRNA from 1 species